AUUGAACGCUGGCGGCAGGCUUAACACAUGCAAGUCGAACGAGUGGCGUACGGGUGAGCAAUGCUUGGGAAUCUAUCUUAUGGAUGGCGAUAACUACGGGACACUGUAGCUACUACCGCGUACCAUAGGCUGAGCCCAAGUGGGAUUAGGUAGUUGGUGAGGUAAAGGCUUACCAAGCCGACGAUCUCUAGCUGGUCUGAGAGGAUGACCAGCCACACUGGGACUGAGACACGGACCAGACUCCUACGGGAGGCAGCAGUGGGGAAUAUUGGGCAAUGGGGGCAACCUGAAGCAGCCAUGCCGCGUGAAUGAAGAAGGCCUUCGGAUUGUAAAGUUCUUUCGGUAGCGAGGCGUUACCUACAGAAGAAGCACCGGCUAACUCCGUGCCAGCAGCCGCGGUAAUAC
rnacentral:rRNA from 1 species